rnacentral:lncRNA from 1 species
AAUUGUACACGUGCAUAUUAUCAUGAAAGGAUUCGUCAGAUCACUUGACAUUCUUGUCACUUGGGUAGCAAUGAUGUGUUGCUAGAUACCGCUCAUUGUUUAUAAUAUUAAAUAUCAGAUUUAAUAUUAUUGCCAACGUGACUAGAACCUAAAGGGUCACACACAAAGAACAGUCAAAAGAGAAAUAUAUAAGUACGACUUAUAUAAGGGGUGCGUUUAGUAAAUAACGCUAAUCAGUUAGCAAAACUACUAAACUCGUUAUUGGGCUUAGUGAAGUCCAAUAGUGGCUUCUGACUUGCAUAGCACACAAGGAGUUCUAUAAAUAGAACCCUAGUGCUAAAGUUUGAGGUUACGCGUUUUGGAGAAUCCCGAGCUCUCUGAACUUAUGAUUCCUUGGCUAGCACCGAGUUUUGGAGGAGCACUGUUCGUAUGGACUUGCUAGAGGCUUUGCUGCUUGCUUUGCUGUGAUCGUGAUUCCGGUUUCCAGCUUCCACCUUCAGUUUCCAGAACUAUCACUUUAAGGUAACAAUCGAAUCACUGAUUCAUGUGUAAUUCGUAAUGAUCCAGGAAGGAAAAUCGAAAUUAUUUUCCGCUGCUUAUUCUGUUUUUAAAUGCGGUUUUCCUUCA